CUACGGGGGGCUGCAGUGGGGAAUAUUGGACAAUGGGCGCAAGCCUGAUCCAGCAAUACCGCGUGUGUGAAGAAGGCCUGCGGGUUGUAAAGCACUUUCAAUUGUGAAGAAAAGCCUGGGGUUAAUACCCUCGGGUCUUGACGUUAACUUUAGAAGAAGCACCGGCUAACUCCGUGCCAGCAGCCGCGGUAAUACGGAGGGUGCGAGCGUUAAUCGGAAUUACUGGGCGUAAAGCGUGCGUAGGCGGCUAGGUCAGUCAGAUGUGAAAGCCCCGGGCUUAACCUGGGAACUGCAUUUGAUACUGCCUGGCUAGAGUAUGGUAGAGGGAAGUGGAAUUCCGGGUGUAGCGGUGAAAUGCGUAGAUAUCCGGAGGAACACCAGUGGCGAAGGCGACUUCCUGGACCAAUACUGACGCUGAGGUACGAAAGCGUGGGUAGCAAACAGGAUUAGAUACCCCAGUAGUC
rnacentral:rRNA from 1 species